rnacentral:rRNA from 1 species
CCGAAUAUGACCAUGCACUUCCUGGUGUGUGGUGGAAAGCUUUUGCGGUGUGGGAUGGGCCCGCGGCCUAUCAGCUUGUUGGUGGGGUAAUGGCCUACCAAGGCGACGACGGGUAGCCGGCCUGAGAGGGUGACCGGCCACACUGGGACUGAGAUACGGCCCAGACUCCUACGGGAGGCAGCAGUGGGGAAUAUUGCACAAUGGGCGCAAGCCUGAUGCAGCGACGCCGCGUGAGGGAUGACGGCCUUCGGGUUGUAAACCUCUUUCAGCACAGACGAAGCGCAAGUGACGGUAUGUGCAGAAGAAGGACCGGCCAACUACGUGCCAGCAGCCGCGGUAAUACGUAGGGUCCGAGCGUUGUCCGGAAUUACUGGGCGUAAAGAGCUCGUAGGUGGUUUGUCGCGUUGUUCGUGAAAACUCACAGCUUAACUGUGGGCGUGCGGGCGAUACGGGCAGACUUGAGUACUGCAGGGGAGACUGGAAUUCCUGGUGUAGCGGUGGAAUGCGC